AAGUCGUAACAAGGUUUCCGUAGGUGAACCUGCGGAAGGAUCAUUAAUGAAGUCUGGGCUUCGGCCCUCUCUCUUCUACACACUUGUGAACUUACACUGUUGCUUUGGCAGGUUUCCCAGAGGACGAAAGUCCCGAGGGUCAGGUCGAAAGACGCCUGCCAUUGACACUUAUCCACCCUUUUUUAAUAGUCUGAUUAUUGUUUAAACAAAUUAAAAUAAAA
rnacentral:misc_RNA from 1 species